CCUACGGGAGGCUGCAGUGGGGAAUAUUGGACAAUGGGCGAAAGCCUGAUCCAGCCAUGCCGCGUGUGUGAAGAAGGCCUUCGGGUUGUAAAGCACUUUUAGUGGGGAAGAAAGCCUUGGGGCUAAUACCCUCGAGGAAGGACAUCACCCACAGAAGAAGCACCGGCUAACUCCGUGCCAGCAGCCGCGGUAAUACGGAGGGUGCGAGCGUUAAUCGGAAUUACUGGGCGUAAAGCGCGCGUAGGCGGUCUGAUAAGCCGGUUGUGAAAGCCCCGGGCUCAACCUGGGAACGGCAUCCGGAACUGUCAGGCUAGAGUGCAGGAGAGGAAGGUAGAAUUCCCGGUGUAGCGGUGAAAUGCGUAGAGAUCGGGAGGAAUACCAGUGGCGAAGGCGGCCUUCUGGACUGACACUGACGCUGAGGUGCGAAAGCGUGGGUAGCAAACAGGAUUAGAUACCCGAGUAGUC
rnacentral:rRNA from 1 species